rnacentral:miRNA from 1 species
CUGGGAUUACAGGCUUGAGCCACCGCGCCCGGCUCGAUUUUAAGUUUUAUAUUAAAAGCACAGGCCAGGAGCGGUGGCUCACGCCUGUAAUCCCAGC